rnacentral:rRNA from 1 species
CUAUACAUGCAAGUCGAGCGAACAGACGAGGAGCUUGCUCCUUUGACGUUAGCGGCGGACGGGUGAGUAACACGUGGGUAACCUACCUAUAAGACUGGGAUAACUUCGGGAAACCGGAGCUAAUACCGGAUAAUAUUUCGAACCGCAUGGUUCGAUAGUGAAAGAUGGCUCUGCUAUCACUUAUAGAUGGACCUGCGCCGUAUUAGCUAGUUGGUAAGGUAACGGCUUACCAAGGCAACGAUACGUAGCCGACCUGAGAGGGUGAUCGGCCACACUGGAACUGAGACACGGUCCAGACUCCUACGGGAGGCAGCAGUAGGGAAUCUUCCGCAAUGGGCGAAAGCCUGACGGAGCAACGCCGCGUGAGUGAUGAAGGUCUUCGGAUCGUAAAACUCUGUUAUUAGGGAAGAACAAACGUGUAAGUAACUGUGCACGUCUUGACGGUACCUAAUCAGAAAGCCACGGCUAACUACGUGCCAGCAGCGGCCGGUAAUAAA